rnacentral:rRNA from 1 species
AUUGAACGCUGGCGGCAGGCUUAACACAUGCAAGUCGAACGAGUGGCGGACGGGUGAGUAAUGUCUGGGAAUCUGGCUUAUGGAGGGGGAUAACGACGGGAAACUGUCGCUAAUACCGCGUACCAUAGGAUGAGCCCAGAUGGGAUUAGGUAGUUGGUGGGGUAAUGGCCCACCAAGGUGACGAUCCGUAGCGGGUCUGAGAGGAUGAUCCGCCACACUGGGACUGAGACACGGCCCAGAUUCCGACGGGAUGCAGCAGUGGGGAAGUUUGUACAAUGGGCGCAAGCCUGAUCCAGCCAUGCCGCGUGUCUGAAGAAGGCCUUCGGGUUGUAAAGGACUUUUGUUAGGGAGGCGGUACCCGAAGAAUAAGCACCGGCUAACUACGUGCCAGCAGCCGCGGUAAUAC